UGGAAGACCGAAUUCUGUCCCAAAUCAAAAUCCGAGCAUAGAUUAGUGAUCACCUUAGUAAAAGGGAUCAUAAGGAAACCGGAGCAUCAAGUGGACAAGCCGGUGGUGACGCGCGAUUGAAAGGGGUGCUUUGAAAGGUGGUGUUGAAAAGUAACCGGAAGAUGAUCGAGCUAGAUUUUGAAGAACCGAACACUACUUACAAGCUUCCGCAAUGUUUUAAAUCUUUAAUAGACUAUGUUUAUGGGUUGUAAACAAUAGUUAAACAUCUUUUGAAAUGUUUUAACUUAGUCGUUAGUUGACUAAGGAUUAUGCUACUUAUGAAC